AGGAAGAUAAGCAUCUAGAAUUCAUGUUUAUAGGAUAUGCAUCUGAGCCUGUGAUGAGACCUCUACUGGGAUUCUUCUUAAAAGGAGUCAAGAAAUGAAGUAAACAGCAAGGGAUAACAGAAGUGUAGGAUUGAUUGUGAGCUUCUCCCCCCAAACUCAGAAAAACUGCCAGGCCUAUGGUAACAUCUCCGUUUUCAGAAGCUCAGAAAAGUAAGCUGCUUGCUCAAGAAUGGACGGCUUCAAGGUGGCAGAGCUGGAAGUUUCUAACUCACUCACCUCAUACUCAGACCUGCACUGUUUUUCAAGACAGUCAAUAUUUCAGGUCAGGCCAUCUACUGAUUGGAUGAGGCCCACCAGCAUUCUGAAAGGCAAGGAAUCUGAGACCUGGCUGGGAGAAGAGGACUUGCCUAAAGUUAUCCCACACAGCAAAUUAGUUGGAAAACCAGGAUAGUUGAGUAAAUAUCCUGGAGCCCAGCCAAGUAAUGAAGCCAGAAUUCAGAAAGCUGUUUUGGCUAGAUCUUGGAUUUUUACAAUAAAGGGUCUGUAAGGGAUAUUUGUGAAAAAUGUUG
rnacentral:lncRNA from 1 species